UACGUAGGGGGCUAGCGUUGUCCGGAAUCAUUGGGCGUAAAGCGCGUGUAGGCGGUCCGGUAAGUCCGCUGUGAAAGUCGGGGGCUCAACCCUCGGAUGCCGGUGGAUACUGUCGGGCUUGAGUACGGAAGAGGCGAGUGGAAUUCCAGGUGUAGCGGUGAAAUGCGUAGAUAUCGGGAGGAACACCAGUGGCGAAGGCGGUGGCCUGGGCCGAUGCUGACGCUGAGGCGCGAAAGCGUGGGGAGCGAUCCGG
rnacentral:rRNA from 1 species